rnacentral:lncRNA from 1 species
CCCAUCUAAAGGUUCUUCCGCCGUCACACCAAUCAAGCCAUUUUUCCUGACAUAACUCUUUAUCAUCUUUCCAAGAUCCUGUUCCAAACCCACCCAUCAGAUCUUUGAUUUUCAUCGGCAAUCACUUCAAAACAGUUUGAAGAAAUUUCACCUGUUUUACUUCAUCUCUGGCGAAAGUUGCAGUUGGGAUGUGUGGGGAAAGAGAAUUUAUUUCAGACGUUAAUACGGGCUUUAUUGUUGGAGUGGAUAUUGAGUUAGGAUUCUUAGGGUUGUUUGUAUCACUUCUACUCAAUUAAGUUAACGAAGGCUUUCGGUGAUGGGGACUAUCAGUUCUACUCAAUUAAGUUAAAGAGUUUGGUGACGGCGUGUUUAUCACUUCUACUCAACUAAGUUAAAAGAGGAAUUUGAUGACGAUUCGACUAUCACUUCCACUCAAUUAAGUUAAAAAAGGAUUUAGGUGAUGACUCGAUGGUGUUAUGGUUGAAGUGAAUGUUGAAUUUGAAUUAUUUGGAUUGUAUCAUUUCUAUUCAAUUAAGUUAAAAGGAGAUUUUGAUGACCACUUGACCUGACGAUGUUAUGGGCGAAGUGAAUAUUAAGUUGGACUUCGAAGACUACUUGACGGUAUUAUGGUUGAAGUGAAUAGAGUUAGAAUUCUCUGGAUGUCAUUUCCACUCAGCUAUGUUAAAGAAUGACUGAUGACAAAAAUAGUCAACCGUAUUAUGUAUAGUGACUAUUAUGUUAGAAAGUUUUUUUUUUUUUUGAACGAUGAAUAUUGGGUUAGAAUUCUCUGGCUUGUUUGGCAACGACUUUGAAACUACAAUCAAGUAAUGCGUGGAACUUGAAGGUGAUCGCUAAAUGUAAUCUGAUGUAAACAAGAUGUGAAUUGAAGUUGUGUUUGGGUGAGUUCUAAUCUUACAUGGCAAUUAUUCAUCAAGCCUUUGUAUGUUUGUCAAUCAAGCUUUAGUAAUUCCAUCAUGUGCAUGCUUUAU